rnacentral:rRNA from 1 species
GUUAAGCGGAAAAAGCGGAGCCGUAGCGAAAGCGAGUCUGAAUAGGGCGCAUAAGUAACAGGUCGUAGACCCGAAACCAGGUGAUCUACCCAUGUCCAGGAUGAAGGUAAGGUAAUACUUACUGGAGGUCCGAACCCACGCACGUUGAAAAGUGCGGGGAUGAGGUGUGGGUAGCGGAGAAAUUCCAAUCGAACUUGGAGAUAGCUGGUUCUCUCCGAAAUAGCUUUAGGGCUAGCCUCGAGGUAAAGAGUCAUGGAGGUAGAGCACUGUUUGGACUAGGGGCCCUUCUCGGGUUACCGAAUUCAGAUAAACUCCGAAUGCCAUGUACUUAUACUCGGGAGUCAGACUGCGAGUGAUAAGAUCCGUAGUCGAAAGGGAAACAGCCCAGACCACCAGUUAAGGUCCCCAAAUAUAUGUUAAGUGGAAAAGGAUGUGGGGUUGCUUAGACAACCAGGAUGUUGGCUUAGAAGCAGCCACCAUUGAAAGAGUGCGUAAUAGCUCACUGGUCGAGUGACCCCGCGCCGAAAAUGUACCGGGGCUAAACAUAUUACCGAAACUGUGGAUGAACCUCUUUAGAGGUUCGUGGUAGGAGAGCGUUCUAAGGGCGGUGAAGUCAGACCGGAAGGACUGGUGGAGCGCUUAGAAGUGAGAAUGCCGGUAUGAGUAGCGAAAGAAGGGUGAGAAUCCCUUCCACCGAAUAUCUAAGGUUUCCUGAGGAAGGCUCGUCCGCUC